rnacentral:lncRNA from 1 species
UUGUAAAACCACCUCUGAUUGGUCCGAUCCAAAGGCGGAGAUAACAAGCCUGAGAGGGUUUGAACCAGGAAAGCUGCCUCAUUCUACAGAAAGACGGGCAAAGGUAACAAUUCUCUCUCUUUCUCUUUAAUCCUAGCCUGUGCUCUCUAUCUUUGCUCUUUGCAAAGUGGACUCUCUCUUCGCUUUUCUUGUCUUGUAACCUGAAUGCUUUUUUACCCUGUGCUUACUAAACAGACUCUGCCUGCUUCUCUCUUUUUCAUUCUGAUUCCGCCAUGUGCUCUCUAUCUUUGCUCUUUUUUCUUAAUCUACACUGAUAUUGAAUAGUUUUAAUGCUUUUUUACCCCGUGCUUACCAAACAGGCUUUGCCUUUGUCAAUUUUCCUUUUAAACCUCGUUUUUUCUUAACCUACAUUGGUAUUAACUAGUUUUAAUGUGUUUUAUUUACUAGGGUUAAACCAAAAAAGCUACCUCGUUUUACAAAAAGACUGCAAAGAUAUUGAUGACAGUAAAGAUGUGGAUCUGCCUCGCCUAUGCAAAAUAAUUGCAUUCCAUCUAAAAUCAACUCUUCAAAGGUUCAAGGACUAUUUCCCAUCAGACUCUGAUCCACAAAAAGGAAAACAAUGGGUUCAUGAUCCAUACUCCUCUCUAGAAACUGAGACCUCUUUGUCACUAUCACUGGAGGACAAGUUGCUGGAAAUGUCAAGUCAUGAGGGUCUGAAGUUACACUUUUAUUAAGUGACUCUAUCUGUUUUCUGGAUCAAAAUCAGGAGUGAAUACUCACAACUCAAUGAACAAGAUGUCAAAAUUUUGCUCAUGUUCCAUUCCACAUAUCUCUGCAAAACUGGAUUUUCAGUGAUGACUGCAACAAAAACAAAAUACAGCAACUGGCUGAGCAGUGGAAAGAUGCUCCAAGUGUCCUUGUCAAACAUUCAUCCCCGGAUUGAAAGAUUUGUGUCUUCAAGACAGGUAUAAACAUCUUGUUAUCAGUAUGGUGAGUGAAUCCAUCUGAUUGUUUAUUAUUAUUUUUUAAAACUAAAUCAAUUGAAUUAUCUCUAAUGUACAAAAUGAGGUAUACAGUUAUAGACAAAAUUAUUGGUAACCUGAUUUUUAAACAUUGUUUCAAAUGAAGGGUAACAUUUUUCAUAUCACAUAACUAGAUGAACUGUUGGUAAGCAAGUAAGAAGUAUCUUACAUGCAGAUAGUACAAAAAGGCAACUCCUGGCAAUACUGAAAAAACAGCAAUAAACACCAGUGAAACACUGUUUGCUUUUUGUUU